AUUGAACGCUGGCGGCAGGCCUAACACAUGCAAGUCGAGCGAGCGGCGGACGGGUGAGUAAUGUAUGGGGACUGCCCGAUAGAGGGGGAUAACUACUGGAAACGGUAGCUAAUACCGCAUACUAUCGGAUAACCCAUAUGGGAGGAGCUAGUAGGUGAGGUAAUGGCUCACCUAGGCGACGAUCCCUAGCUGGUCUGAGAGGAUGAUCCGCAACACUGGGACUGGGACACGGCCCUGCUUCCUACGGAGGAAGCAGUGGGGAAUAUUGCACAAUGGGCGCAUGCUUGAUGCAGCCAUGCCGCGUGGAUGAAGAAGGCCCUAGGGUUGUAAGGUACUUUAAGUCGGGAGGCGUUACCGACAGAAGAAGCGCCGGCUAACUCCGUGCCAGCAGCCGCGGUAAUAC
rnacentral:rRNA from 1 species